GUUCAUAGUGUUUUUUUUUUCGUUGGUUAACCUAGGUAGGAUAUUAAGCAGCAUAGUAGGAAGAGCUUGGUGGCACAAGCCACCGCCCCUUUCCAAAGGGGACGCUCAUAACAUCCAUCCAUCCAUGCAAAUCCAUUCAACGGGCAAGCAUGGCGGCAAAGCAUCAGAGAGGCCCAGUGUAAACAAACCCGUACAACGAGCUUGCAGUGCGCGACGUAGUGAUCAGGCUCGACGAUGGCCACUAUUUCUUGGAUAGUUCUGUUCCUCCGUGGGCAAUCUUCCCGUGCACCUGGUAAGACUGCCAAUAGCUUCGGCGAUUUUACAGAUCGCAACGCGCACCUACUACCUACUAUUCACGGCGAAGUGCUGAAGAAACAACUUGUCCGGUGCUGCUUCUGCGAGUGCGCCGAGUUCCUCCACUCUGCGUGACUGCGAGCGUCACGAACAUUACAUAGUGUGGGCAAAAGGCAGACGUCCUAUAUAGCGACGAUGCGACAAGGAGGUGGUACCGACGAUGGAUCUCGCUACCAACACAGUGAAGGAGACAUCGACAAACUGCAGCAAAACAUUCUGCUGCUGGAGGCACUCAACUGCCUGGUGGCAGUAGGCGAGCGCCAGGCACGUGCUCUUAAGAGUGUGGCAGAGGUCCAGAGGGCUGCUCUGCAACAGUAGUAUCGGUGCCCUCACUGCUCUCCUGUUGAGCCCACAGAAGGCACCUUAUAAAGGAGCUUUCAGUUUAAUAUUUUGUUUAUUAUUCAAGAACAUGAAUAAAAUUAUUGCAGUAAA